CAGCACGUGUGGUUCUGUGUGUGGCUCGGUGGAGAUCAGGAUUUCUGGAGCUGCUUAGCUGAGAGGUUUUGGUUAAGGGUCUCCCAGGAGGUUGCCAUGAAGACGCAGGCUGGGGUCACAGGCACUGGAAGGCAUGGCUGGAGCGGCAAUCAGGCCAUUUCCAAGUGGCUCACUCUCAUAGCUGCCAAGUUGGUGAUUGCUGUUUGUAGAUACCCGGUUCCUUCCACAUGAACCCUGCCAUAGGCUGCUUGAGUAUCCCCGUGACAUGGCAGCUGGCUCAGCCCAGAAUAAGGUAUCUUGAAGAAUCUUUGACCAAUGGAGAGCUAAUCAAAGACAACUUUAAUAGGAGAAGAAAAUACUUGGAUUGGGAGUAUGGCUGAAAAGUCCCACUGAACAAGGCCCUCAAGUGGAGUUCCUGUGGAGUGGUCACCUUUCUGAUGACUUCAACUGGGAACGUCAGCACGGAACUAUUGCUGGGUGUUCAUUCCAUCACCCCUUCCUAUGUCCCUGCUCAGGACACCCUGCAUCUGUCUAUAUGCAUUGCUACUGAUUUAGACAGUGAGUUACAUUUAGUGCAUUUUUGCAUUGUUCUUUAUUGUAUCCAUGGUAUCUAGCACAAUUCUGGUUCUUAUUACAGCUUGGUAAAUGUCAUUGAUUAAUCCAGGGCAGAUUAUCUCUCUAUUUAAAUUUGUGAAUCCUCUGUGUAAACAAUUUGAUUAAAAAUUUAUGACAAAAUUCA